rnacentral:rRNA from 1 species
AUUGAACGCUGGCGGCAUGCCUUACACAUGCAAGUCGAACGGCAGCGCGGGGCAACCUGGCGGCGAGUGGCGAACGGGUGAGUAAUAUAUCGGAACGUACCCUGGAGUGGGGGAUAACGUAGCGAAAGUUACGCUAAUACCGCAUACGAUCUAAGGAUGAAAGUGGGGGAUCGCAAGACCUCAUGCUCCUGGAGCGGCCGAUAUCUGAUUAGCUAGUUGGUGGGGUAAAGGCCUACCAAGGCAUCGAUCAGUAGCUGGUCUGAGAGGACGACCAGCCACACUGGAACUGAGACACGGUCCAGACUCCUACGGGAGGCAGCAGUGGGGAAUUUUGGACAAUGGGCGAAAGCCUGAUCCAGCAAUGCCGCGUGAGUGAAGAAGGCCUUCGGGUUGUAAAGCUCUUUUGUCAGGGAAGAAACGGUGAGGGCUAAUAUCUCUUGCUAAUGACGGUACCUGAAGAAUAAGCACCGGCUAACUACGUGC